GAUGAACGCUGGCGGCGUGCCUAAUACAUGCAAGUCGAGCGAACCACCUCGGUGGUGAGCGGCGAACGGGUGAGUAACACGUAGGUGAUCUGCCCAUCAGACGGGGACAACGAUUGGAAACGAUCGCUAAUACCGGAUAGGACGUAAGUUUAAAGGUGCUUCUGGCACCGCUGAUGGAUGAGCCUGCGGCGCAUUAGCUAGUUGGUAGGGUAAGGGCCUACCAAGGCGACGAUGCGUAGCCGACCUGAGAGGGUGAACGGCCACACUGGGACUGAGACACGGCCCAGACUCCUACGGGAGGCAGCAGUAGGGAAUCUUCGGCAAUGGGCGAAAGCCUGACCGAGCAACGCCGCGUGAAUGAUGAAGGCCUUCGGGUUGUAAAAUUCUGUUAUAAGGGAAGAACGACUUUAGUAGGAAAUGGCUAGAGUGUGACGGUACCUUAUGAGAAAGCCACGGCUAACUACGUGCCAGCAGCCGCCGUAA
rnacentral:rRNA from 1 species